GUCUACGGCCAUGCCACCCUGAACAAGCCCGAUGUCUGAUCUCGGAAGCUAAGCAGGGUUGGGCCUGGUUAGUACUUGGAUGGGAGACCACCUAGGAAGACUGUGUGCUGUAGGUA
rnacentral:rRNA from 1 species